GGAGGGAUCAUUACUGAGUUCUGGGUCUCCAAGACCCGACCUCCAACCCUUUGUUGUCUGACUCUGUUGCCUCGGGGGUGACCCUGACCUGCUUCGCGGGUUUUGGGGCCCCCGGUGGACAUAUCAAACUCUGCUUUAAUUUGUCGUCUGAGUAAAUUGAUUAAAUCAAAUCAAAACUUUCAACAACGGAUCUCUUGGUUCUGGCAUCGAUGAAGAACGCAGCGAAAUGCGAUAAGUAAUGUGAAUUGCAGAAUUCAGUGAAUCAUCGAAUCUUUGAACGCACAUUGCGCCCUUUGGUAUUCCGAAGGGCAUGCCUGUUCGAGCGUCAUUACACCACUCAAGCCUAGCUUGGUAUUGGAGGACGCGGUUCGCCGCGCCUCUUAAAUUCUUCGGCUGAGCAUAUCGUCUCUUAGCGUUGUGAUACAUAUUCGCUUGUGAGAUCGGUGUGGUUCGCGCCGUUAAACCUCUUUUUUAAAGGUUGACCUCGGAUCAGGUAGGGAUACCCGCUGAACUUAAGCAUAUCAAUAAGCGGAGGAAAAGAAACCAACAGGGAUUGCCCUAGUAACGGCGAGUGAAGCGGCAACAGCUCAAAUUUGAAAUCUGGCGUCUUUGGCGUCCGAGUUGUAAUUUGUAGAGGAUGCUUCUGGGUAGCCACCGUUCUAAGUUCCUUGGAACAGGACGUCAUAGAGGGUGAGAAUCCCGUAUGUGACCGGCAGGCGCCCUCCACGUAGCUCCUUCGACGAGUCGAGUUGUUUGGGAAUGCAGCUCUAAAUGGGAGGUAAAUGUCUUCUAAAGCUAAAUAUUGGCCAGAGACCGAUAGCGCACAAGUAGAGUGAUCGAAAGAUGAAAAGCACUUUGGAAAGAGAGUUAAAAAGCACGUGAAAUUGUUGAAAGGGAAGCGCUUGCAACCAGACUUGUCUGCGGUAUUCCGCCGGUCUUCUGACCGGUUUACUUAUCGUAUGCAGGCCAGCAUCAUUUGGGACCGUCGGAUAAAACCUAGGGAAUGUAGCUCCUUCGGGAGUGUUAUAGCCCAAGGCAAUACGACGAGUCUCGAGUGAGGUCCGCGCUUCGGCUAGGAUGCUGGCGUAAUGGUUGUAAGCGGCCCGUCUUGAAACACGGACCAAGGAGUCUAACAUCUAUGCGAGUGUUCGGGUGUCAAACCCCUGCGCGUAAUGAAAGUGAACGGAGGUGGGAACCGCAAGGUGCACCAUCGACCGAUCCUGAUGUCUUCGGAUGGAUUUGAGUAAGAGCAUAGCUGUUGGGACCCGAAAGAUGGUGAACUAUGCCUGAAUAGGGUGAAGCCAGAGGAAACUCUGGUGGAGGCUCGCAGCGGUUCUGACGUGCAAAUCGAUCGUCAAAUUUGGGUAUAGGGGCGAAAGACUAAUCGAACCAUCUAGUAGCUGGUUCCUGC
rnacentral:misc_RNA from 1 species